rnacentral:rRNA from 1 species
UACGAAGGGGGCUAGCGUUGUUCGGAAUUACUGGGCGUAAAGGGCGCGCAGGCGGCCGGCCAAGUCAGGCGUGAAAGCCCCGGGCUUAACCUGGGAAUUGCGUCUGGGACUGGUUGGCUAGAGAUCGGGAGAGGAGAGUGGAAUUCCCAGUGUAGAGGUGAAAUUCGUAGAUAUUGGGAAGAACACCGGUGGCGAAGGCAGCCAUCUGGACCGACACUGACGCUGAGGCGCGAAAGCGUGGGGAGCAAACAGG